UACGUAGGGUGCAAGCGUUGUCCGGAAUUAUUGGGCGUAAAGAGCUCGUAGGCGGUUUGUUGCGUCGGCUGUGAAAACCCGAGGCUCAACCUCGGGCCUGCAGUGGGUACGGGCAGACUAGAGUGCGGUAGGGGAGAUUGGAAUUCCUGGUGUAGCGGUGGAAUGCGCAGAUAUCAGGAGGAACACCAAUGGCGAAGGCAGAUCUCUGGGCCGUAACUGACGCUGAGGAGCGAAAGCAUGGGGAGCGGACAGG
rnacentral:rRNA from 1 species